rnacentral:rRNA from 1 species
UACGGGGGGGGCAAGCGUUGUUCGGAAUUACUGGGCGUAAAGGGCGCGUAGGUGGCCAACUAAGUCAGACGUGAAAUCCCUCGGCUUAACCGGGGAACUGCGUCUGAUACUGGAUGGCUUGAGUUCGGGAGAGGGAUGCGGAAUUCCAGGUGUAGCGGUGAAAUGCGUAGAUAUCUGGAGGAACACCGGUGGCGAAGGCGGCAUCCUGGACCGACACUGACACUGAGGAGCGAAAGCCAGGGGAGCAAACGGA